UACGUAGGGGGCAAGCGUUGUUCGGAAUUACUGGGCGUAAAGCGCACGUAGGCGGAUCGUUAAGUCAGGGGUGAAAUCCUGGAGCUCAACUCCAGAACUGCCUUUGAUACUGGCGGCCUUGAGUUCGGGAGAGGUGAGUGGAACUGCGAGUGUAGAGGUGAAAUUCGUAGAUAUUCGCAAGAACACCAGUGGCGAAGGCGGCUCACUGGCCCGAUACUGACGCUGAGGUGCGAAAGCGUGGGGAGCAAACAGG
rnacentral:rRNA from 1 species